UACAUUCAACAAACUGAUAAUACAAGCAGCUCUAGAUGGUUUAAAAUUCUAACUAUGGUGCUAACGAAAUUGAAUACUGAAUGCAGAGCACGCAACAUUGAACGCGGAAUUGAACAUUGAAAGUCAUUACUCGGAAUUGGGUCUGCUGUUCAACGCCGGCUACAAAGUAAAGUACAUUCAACAAACUGAUAAUACAUGCAGCUCUAGAUGGUUGAAAAUUCUAAUUAUGUAUUUGAAACUUUAAUUAGGGUUUCAGAACAAUAACUUCAAUAAUAAAAUAUUUGAGUAUUACAUAAAAUUCGUUUAAGCUUUAACCUGAAUUUACAUUAGAUAUUAAAAGAAUGGUGUAUUACAUACGUCUGACGUAAAUGCGGUUUUUUAUUUACAAAUUAUUAAUGGAAAAACCAAAUCUCUCUUCCUUAAUAUACAGGCGUAAAAUGUUGUUAUGAAUUCGUUAGAUUCUCCAAAGGUCAAAGCUACAAGCAUUAACGAAGUGUUGAACAAAAAAUGGUCUCUUUUUCUGUAUAAACACUCGAAUAAAUUAUCUUAUCGAAAAUCGUGUCAAAGGUGAAAUAUUCAGGUUGGCAACAGAAUUGGCUUUAAAGCCAGACAGAACACGUUAUACGCCAACACUGGAACAGGAAUUAAGAAUUUAACAUAUAUACUACCAACACACCGCAACAUAUAUACUA